rnacentral:lncRNA from 1 species
CCAACAGUAAUAAUAAAUAGGAUUUAAAUCCAAUAACCAUAUCAAAAUCCAUUCACAUACUCAAAAUUAGUCAAACCUUUUAAAUAUAGUUUAUUUCGCUGCUGCACCUAGGUGAGAACCCAGACUACCUACGCACCCCUUGGUGAGGGAUCUAGCCACGCGUAGUUCUUAUUUCAAAAAUCGCGGUUCGGAUAACAUACAAUCAUUUCAGUAAUACUAAUAAGUUAAUUCUAGAAUUAUCUUUUCCCCAUAAUUUAAAUCACACUAUACCAAACAUAAUCCUCUUUAAACAUUAAUCUUUUCCCAAUAGUAUACUAAUCCUUUUUCAUUCUACCCAUUACUUUACUACACGUUGGAGAAUCCAACGCCACGCGUAGUGACUAGAGUGUCCAGAUCCUUUACCACACGUUGGAAUAAUCCAACGCCACGUAUGGUAAAGUAACCAGCAUCCAAGUGAGCACACACGCAUGAAAAUCCAACGCCACUUGUGGCCCAACUAAACCAUGUCCUACGUGCCCAAACUGCUUUAUCACACGCCAAAAAAUCUAACGCCACAUGUGAUAAAGUGCAGCAUAACCAAGUAAAC